AUACGGAGGGGGUUAGCGUUGUUCGGAAUUACUGGGCGUAAAGCGCACGUAGGCGGAUUGGAAAGUUGGGGGUGAAAUCCCAGGGCUCAACCCUGGAACUGCCUCCAAAACUAACAGUCUAGAGUUCUAGAGAGGUGAGUGGAAUUCCAAGUGUAGAGGUGAAAUUCGUAGAUAUGUGGAGGAACACCAGUGGCGAAGGCGGCUCACUGGCUCGAUACUGACGCUGAAGUGCGAAAGCGUGGGGAGCAAACAGGAUUAGAAACCCGAGUAGUCC
rnacentral:rRNA from 1 species